rnacentral:rRNA from 1 species
GGGCCCGCACAAGCGGUGGAGUAUGUGGUUUAAUUCGAUGCAACGCGAAGAACCUUACCAGGGUUUGACAUCCUGCGAAUCUCUUGGAAACAGGAGAGUGCCUUCGGGAACGCAGUGACAGGUGGUGCAUGGCUGUCGUCAGCUCGUGUCGUGAGAUGUUGGGUUAAGUCCCGCAACGAGCGCAACCCACGUCUUUAGUUGCCAGCAUUUAGUUGGGCACUCUAGAGAGACUGCCGGUGAUAAACCGGAGGAAGGUGUGGAUGACGUCAAGUCAUCACGGCCCUUACGUCUAGGGCUACACACGUGCUACAAUGGUAAGUACAGAGCGUUGCUGCUUGGUGACAAGUUGGCUAAUCGCUAAAGCUUAUCUCAGUUCGGAUUGGAGUCUGCAACUCGACUCCAUGAAGUUGGAAUCGCUAGUAAUCG